rnacentral:rRNA from 1 species
AUAGCGUAUAUUAAAGUUGUUGCAGUUAAAAAGCUCGUAGUUGAACUUUGAGCUCGUCCGGUCGGUCCGCCUCACGGCGCUGUACUGACUGGGUGGGCUUUUCCUCUUGGUGAAUCGGAGUGCCCUUAAUUGGAUGCUUCGGGGAACCAGGACUUUUACCUUGAGAAAAUUAGAGUGUUCAAAGCAGGCCUUUGCCCGAAUACAUUAGCAUGGAAUAAUAAAAUAGGACGCGCGGUUCUAUUUUGUUGGUUUCUAGAGUCGCCGUAAUGAUUAAUAGGGACAGUUGGGGGCAUUAGUAUUCAGUUGCUAGAGGUGAAAUUCUUGGAUUUACUGAAGACCGACUAUUG